GAGAGCCACCUUUCGAGUGAUUCCGACUUUGAGGAUAGAGCCCCAAAGGUUGCUCUAGUAACCGUUUCGUCUGACGAUGAUAAAGAAGACAUUCAGCAGCCUUCGGUUGAGGACACAAACAACGAAUUGAAUGAUGAGGCUCAGACUGAGAGCACCAUGAUCUCUCACGCACUUGCCCAGUCUUUGGCUGAAACGGAUACCAAUUUGUCAGACGCUGAGACAUUGCCCUAUGUUUUGGCAAUGCUACGCAGCAACUUAGAGCUAGAGGAAGUGACCAUACCUUUAAGACGUUCGCAUGUACUGCAGGACACUUUGUGCUGUGUCAGUCGGAAAGGGUUCCCACUAAACCACACUAUAAAAGUUGAGUUUCUAGGAGAAGCAGGGGAAGACGGUGGAGGACCAAAAAGGGAAUUUUUUACCUUACUUUCGAGACAAAUACAGUGCUUUCUAUUUGAAGGGGAGGAUAAUCGCUGUGUGUUAAGACACGAUGGCAUUGAACUUCAGAACAAGAAAUUCUGUCAUGUUGGCCAACUGAUGGCCAUGAGCAUCGUGCAAGGCAGUAUUGGUUUUUCGUUUUGUGCUCCACCUGUGUAUGAGUACUUGUGCGGAAAAGAAACGACAGAUAUUAAAGUGGAGAUAUGCUGAUGUGCCCAGUUCGGAAACUAGAGAAAUGUUGAAACAGAUUGAAGUGGUCGCAGAUGACAGCGCGUUACAAGAUAUUUGCUCAAGCGGAAUAGAUGUACUAAUUGAGGCUGGCUACACAAGCCUGUAUCCCAGAUCAAUCUUGAGAACAAAACGGAAGUCGCCAAGACAUUAAUGAUGCACACAUUGUAUCGUAGCAAAGUAGUGCUCGACCAACUCAAAUCCGGUCUUGCAACUCUAGGUUUGCUGGAUGCAAUGAGAAAGCAUCCGCAGAUUCUAGAACCUCUCUUCGUGUUUGGCAAUCGAGUUGCAUGCAUUGACUGCCGAAACUAUCAGGAACCUGUUUGCUACGAAGCACUUUUCAGGUAUGUGGAACGGGAGAAAGAAGAAGCGACGUACAUGCUAUCUCUUGAUCUCUUACAUGAGGCAGAAGACGCAGGCAUCCCAGAAGUAACACUUAAUCGAGUGCUAAGCUUUAUUACCGGUGCGGAAGAAGUUCCUGCAGGAGGAUUCGAAUGUCCAGCGUCACUCUACUUCUGUCCAAUAUCUCAAUUUCCAACAGCAUCUACGUGCGCGUUGCAGUCGACGUUGCCAACCACACAUUACAAUAACGCCGUGCUGUUCAAGGAGAAGAUAUUGUAUGCGUUUCAUAAUCACGGCGGAUUUGGAUUGAUCUGGCACAGAAAUAGCAAAGAGCAGUCGCUAGAGAAGUCUGGUUUGUUUUGUUUUGUUUGCUGAUUUGAGUCUAGCGUAGCGGCGCUAUUGUACGUGUUACAAAUUGGAUUAGAUCGGCACAACUAACUAUAAUUUUAUUAAACCGUGGUUGA